AACGAACGCUGGCGGCAGGCCUGACACAUGCAAGUCGAACGGGUCCUUCGGGACUAGUGGCGGACGAGUGAGUAACGCGUGGGAACGUGCCCUUUGGUUCGGAAUAGCCCUGGGAAACUGGGAGUAAUACCGGAUGAGCCCUCCGGGGGAAAGAUUUAUCGCCAAAGGAUCGGCCCGCGUUGGAUUAGGUAGUUGGUGGGGUAAUGGCCUACCAAGCCGACGAUCAAGAGCUGGUUUGAGAGGAUGAUCAGCCAAACUGGGAUUGAGACACGGCCCAGACUCCUGCGGGAGGCAGCAGUAGGGAAUCUUAGACAAUGGGGGAAACCCUGAUCUAGCCAUGCCGCGUGAUCGAUGAAGGCCUUAGGGUUGUAAAGAUCUUUCAGUGGGGAAGAUAAUGACGGUACCCACAGAAGAAGCCCCGGCUAACUCCGUGCCAGCAGCCGCCGUAA
rnacentral:rRNA from 1 species